rnacentral:rRNA from 1 species
AUUGAACGCUGGCGGCAUGCCUUACACAUGCAAGUCGAACGGUAACGGGCCUUCGGGUGCCGACGAGUGGCGAACGGGUGAGUAAUGUAUCGGAACGUACCUUUCAGUGGGGGAUAACGUAGCGAAAGUUACGCUAAUACCGCAUAUUCUGUGCGCAGGAAAGCAGGGGAUCGCAAGACCUUGCGCUGAUUGAGCGGCCGAUAUCAGAUUAGCUAGUUGGUGAGGUAAAGGCUCACCAAGGCGACGAUCUGUAGCGGGUCUGAGAGGAUGAUCCGCCAACCUGGAACUGAGACACGGUCCAGACUCCUACGGGAGGCAGCAGUGGGGAAUUUUGGACAAUGGGGGCAACCCUGAUCCAGCCAUGCCGCGUGAGUGAAGAAGGCCUUCGGGUUGUAAAGCUCUUUCGGCCGGGAAGAAAUCGUAUCAGCUAAUACCUGGCGUGGAUGACGGUACCGGAAUAAGAAGCACCGGCUAACUACGUGCCAGCCGCCGCAGUAAGAC